CUUGGCGCCCAGAUCUGUUUGUUUUCACGAGCCUUCCCUUCCUUUUCACACUGGAAGCCUGCGGGCAGGGAUGGUCUGGUUUUGUGUAGAAAACAUCACAUUUUAUUGCUUAUCUGCAUCUCUUUCGGCUCAACUGCAAGAAUCCGGGAUUUCCCUUGACCUGAAAGGAACCGGGAGGGAAGGAGGAAAUCCAGCCUCUCGAUGGAUCUGUCUAGCUGAAGCUCCAUGCAGCCCUGGCCUGAGAGUCACGGUGGCCGAGUGGUUAAGGCGUUGGACUCGAAAUCCAAUGGGGUUUCCCCGCACAGGUUCGAAUCCUGUUCGUGACGACGAUCUCGUUUUGAUGGCGAGCGAUCCCACCAGCUUUUGAUGAUCGCCGACUGGAAAAGGGAGCCCGCUCGAAAGCAAUGGGGGGAAAAAAAAAAAAACACGUGGUGGGACGGAAAGAGAACGAGUCGCUCGCUCCGGCCUUCAAGGCAGUCCAUGUGAAGGAGCUCGAUUGGGCGGCCUCCGGUGGAAGAAACAAAGGAAGACAUGCGCUGGCGGAGCUCGCUAGCUUGUGGAUCAUUCACUUCGUAGACCAAGAUUCUGUCACUUUCAGGCAGGGCGUGGACGUAAAGCAACUUACUGCGCCUCGCAUUUUCAUUUUUGACUCGGGAAGCAAACUUGCUUGAGGGUAACUUUAUCGUCCCUAUACGGCUAAGCUUGAUUUUUGUGAUAGCUGCAAUUGCAAAAGGUAAAAGAGCAGGAAAGAAAUCUCAGCAAAACAACUUUGCCAUGCUAAGAAUAUGGGCGUGACAUGCCCAUCUAGAUUAUCAGGAGUUGAGCUCGUUUGUUGGUGCCUUUCCCUUUGUAGAAAAUGUCACCCUCCGUAUUUUGUAAAUAAAUUCGGUAAAGCAAUGACAUCUCCUAAAACAGCAUAGUUUUGAAGGAAUUGGCAACAGGAUUUAAAUGGACUGGAAUGGACUACUGUAAGAUCCUUUUUGGAUGGUUCCCCAAAGCUAUUUUCACGGAUACUAAAUCUGGACAACUGGGUGAUUUACAAAGGAUUAAUAAUAUCAAAAUACGAUACACAGCAUGCACGCACACACUAUACUGGGACAAAUAAACUCUAUUUUACACCCAGUUUGAUGAAUUCACAUAACAUCUCAGCCCAUAACAUCCUGAGGAAGAGCCCUGUCUUAAAAGGCCUUCCUAAUGCCCUCAGGGUUGUGGAGAGAGAGGUGCUGUAAGGAUAAUCCCAUGGUAAGAUGGAUGGCCAAUAAAUGUAAUAAAUAAAAUUAAUAAACAGAGAAGGCAUGCCUCAUGGGUCCCCUGUGGGGGUGAGUUAUUGAUGGGAUGAAAGCAAACUGGCCAGUCUGGUCCUAUGGGAUAGGCAAAGACAAUUGGAGACAAAUCUGUGGACUCUUCUAAUCUUGCCACUAAAUUGUACUUUCCAAUGUGACAGAAGAAGGGAAGUUAUUACUUUUUUAAAAAAAAAUUAUUUGAAACAGCUGUCCAAUUCCAAGUCCAGAAUACUGAAGGCAUUUCUGGGUGAACAUCAGAUCAGGGAACCUAAGUACAGUUUGUUCGUUUUGCAAGAGUUGAACUUCGAUUCCACCCGAAAUCCCAUCCCCAGAAGUCCCCUGCUUUUGUGAACCAUCUUGGAACAGCGUCUCACCAUGGACAGCACAGCCUGAGGUGUGCUAUGCUGGGAAUAUAAAGGAAGUUCCUGUCUGCCCUCUGCUGGGAGAGAAGCUGAAGAGCUGCCAUUUUGAAUUUAAAAAUUGCAACCAUCAGGAACUGGCUGAAGCCAAGACUAGUGGCUUUGGGGAAAAGCUGCCUCAAUGGCUCCAUGUGACACCAGGGACGUCUAAAGUAAAGGUGGAAGGCAGCUGUAACCUAGCAGUUAUGAAGCAGUAGAAGUCAUACUGGCAGAAAGAGGAAAAGACUGACACAAUCUGAGGAAGAAGCAGAGGAAGCUGUGGAAAAUAAUGGAAGAAAUCAGGGAGCUUUACAGGUUGACCCAACUUGGCUGGGAUGAAAGAAACAGUGUCAUCUUGGAGAUCUGGGGAAAGUUAGGCUACAAUAAAAAUGUGUCGGUAAUUGAACAAAAGUUUUAAAAGAGUGCUUGUGCUUGGGAGUUUGUAUUCAGAAUUUUGGACAAGUUACUUAUCAUUUAGCUUUACCUAUUUAAUCUGCUGUGAAGUGUUUGGUCACUAGCUACACACAUCACUGAAAUCUUUUUUUUUUUUUUUGCUUACCUAGGAAUUUUAACAUUUCAAAUGUCCCUGCUUGCCCAGAACAUUUGGAAAUCUGCACUGUAAUCUGCACUUGAGAUUAGAACAUAAAAUAGGGCUACAUCAAAGAUUACGUUGAAGGAACAUUAUACCCAACAGAGAGCGAAGAAUACAUUACAGUAUAAAUAUAAGCUAACACACCAAUUGUUACAGUGACCUUGUAACAAUUACCUACCCUUUGACUGUUUUUGUUGUGUAGGCAAAUGAAAUAUAUGGGAAGAGUAUGGACACUUAUAUAAGUAAGAAUAUUUACAAAUAUGCAGAAGUCAAGUCCUAUUGAAGAUGUUAGAAUGGUCAAAGAUGCAAUUCCACUUAUAUUGCUUUACUUCAAAUAAUAUAAAUGGGAAUUUUAUAUCUGACUAUUCCAAUAAACAGAAGGGCUAAUUAUAUCUGAGUAGUCUAAGAGUAGUUUUCAACAUCUCCUUGAGGCCAUCUAGUGGCUAUCUGAAUUUCUGCAACUCAGAUACAAUAGUCCUAAUGAAUGACAAUACAUAAUCAUUUUAUCAUCAUCACCUCUCCAAAAUAGCAGGUAUUCUCUUUGCAAUUGAGGGUAAUCUAAUUCAGAAUUUAAUUCUCCUCCUCCAGAUGAUUUGGACUACAUAAAGUUCAAAUGAAUAUGGCCAAUAAACAAUAAUGAUUGAAGUUAAAGGUAUGAUUUUCAAAACAUCCAGAGUGCAUCACUCCUAAUUUAAAAAUUGCUUCCCUAAUUAUGGUACUAUAUACGCUCCAGUUUGUCCAGUUAGCAAGCACAUAACUGUUCUAUCUGGGCAAUAUUACACCUGAAAAUAUUAUUGUAGUUAGAAAAUUACUGUAACAAACUGAAUAAAAAUGCCAUUGCUAUGCAUCUGCAAGAAAAAUUAAUAUUGUACUGAAUAUCUUGGGUUCAUAAAUAUACAUAUGCUGCGGGAGCACCUAGUUCCUUGAAACCCCUUCCCAGUCAUUUAUACAUUACAGUAGCAGGUUCGGCUAUAUAAGCAGUUAUCAACAAUAAACUGGGAUGAGGAAAGGAUUUAGAAAAUAAUAUUAAACAUAAUUGGGGCGAUUUCCAGUUCUGGAAUGCGGCGACGCCAGUCGCACCUGGAAAUUUCUCUCCAGGCUGUCCGGAGUUUCCUUCGCCGGUAGACACCCUAGGGGUUCAAAAAUCGCCCUGGAGGGGCGACCACCGAGGAGGAGGCCGGCUGGUAGAUAGGGGAGGGUGGCAGCUUCCCCCGAAUCUCCAGGUUCUCCUUAGGGCCAACGGAGCAAAGAUUGGCCUGUAAGAUGGCCGAUCACCCUGCUGCACCAGCCGAAAGUCACAUCGUCAUCUAAGCGUUAACGACCCAUCACGGAUGAUCCGGGUGAGAUCCCUUUUGUUCCUCUCCAUACCCCUGCUGUUUUUGCCUGUAGAAACUGUUUGUGCUAUCAUUUCCCCGUCUGGAGAAAGCAGCUUUAGUAAUCGUGGGAACAAACGCGUUUUACAAAAAGGACAGAAAAAACAAAUAAAUAUUCAUUUAAAGACUAUACUCUAUUCCUACUUACAUUGUGCUGUAGAA